UUAUCCUUGAGUAACAUGUUUGAGUGAUCAUAAUUAUAUGUCUCUGAUAAUUGUAACUCUUGUAUGAUUUAUUUCCUAUUUUGGUUCCAGAAACUUCCUAGGUUAUCAACAUCAGCACUUCAUGAUCUACCUUAUAAGAGAAAGAAGACUAGAAGCAGGUGUAGGGCAUUUAAAACCUCUAUGGUCACCAAAGUGGGCUUUCUUUUUUUUCUUUCUUUUUUUUUUUUUUUUUUUUUUUUGCAGAUUUGCUAGCUCUCAUUGAGGUUCUUACCAUCUAUUGUCUAAAUAAUCUUGUGGGGAUCACACAAAUUACUCAAGUUUUUCAAGAUAGUGACAUUGGUUAAUCAAGAUAAUGACAAAACUGCACUUCAGACAAUUGCUUCUUUGAAGAAAGGUACAUAUAUUUUGAAGUACGAUCGAAGAGGAUAGCCUAAACUUUGUCCUUUCAGGUACAAAAACUUUGAUCUGAUUUUCGGUCAAGCAUUAAUGUGGUCAUCGGACUAUAAGUGCGAAGAAAACGAACAAAAAAACAUUCUUUCUUCAUGUUUUUUUUUUUUUUGAUAAACUUGGUAGCUUAUAACUGUUGUUUGUUACUACAUUGCACCAAAAAUGUUAGUUGAACUGUAUCAAUGGUUCAAAAAGACUACAAGUGCACCACAUGGUGGUUAUGUUGAGAAAUUUUCAUAUAUUGUCAUAAAAGAUUUCUAUUUUUUUGGUCGUAUCAGUACGUUGUUAUUUGACCCGUUUGUGUUGGAAGUUGUGCCAAAUUGAAAGGAAUGGUGAAUUAU